AUUGAACGCUGGCGGCAUGCCUUACACAUGCAAGUCGAACGGUAACAGGUCUUCGGAUGCUGACGAGUGGCGAACGGGUGAGUAAUACAUCGGAACGUGCCCGAUCGUGGGGGAUAACGCAGCGAAAGCUGUGCUAAUACCGCAUACGAUCUACGGAUGAAAGCGGGGGAUCGCAAGACCUCGCGCGGACGGAGCGGCCGAUGGCAGAUUAGGUAGUUGGUGGGAUAAAAGCUUACCAAGCCGACGAUCUGUAGCUGGUCUGAGAGGACGACCAGCCACACUGGGACUGAGACACGGCCCAGACUCCUACGGGAGGCAGCAGUGGGGAAUUUUGGACAAUGGGGGAAACCCUGAUCCAGCCAUGCCGCGUGCAGGAUGAAGGCCUCGGUUGUAAC
rnacentral:rRNA from 1 species